rnacentral:rRNA from 1 species
UACAGAGGGUGCUAGCGUUGUUCGGAAUCAUUGAGCGUAAAGGGCGUGUAGGCGGUUUGCUAAGUCAUGUGUGAAAUCCCUCGGCUUAACCGGGGAACGACGCAUGAAACUGGCAAGCUAGAGUACCAAAGAGGGGGGUGGAAUUCCCGGGUGUAGCGGUGAAAUGCGUAGAUAUCGGGAGGAACACCUGUGGCGAAGGCAGGCCCCCUGGUUGGAGUACGUGGACCGGCUGAUACGCGAAAGCGUGGGGAGCAAACAGGAUUGAGAAUACCCCGAGUAGUCCAC